GCCAGCAGCCAUAUCAACCUGCAACUCACAACUGGCAGCCCACUGAAACUAAGCAGGUGUGAGCCUGGUCAGUACCUGUAUGGAAGACCUCAUGGGAAAGCUAAGGUUGCUGCUGGAA
rnacentral:rRNA from 1 species